rnacentral:lncRNA from 1 species
UCUACCUCUGGAACACUGGGGUUGAAUCUGUGCACCACCACACCAGCUCUUAUUUAAACGUAUUUCUCUUUAUGAAACAUCACUCACAUAAUUACCACCUUUUCUAGAGCUCUAAAUGCCUACGCUGUGGUACUUACGUUUCCAAGGCAUUAUAGGCCCCAGUGGCAGAACCUGGGUUAAUGUAGAAUUUAUUUUCAUGCUCAAAUGCUUCAAAUUUGUGUGUGUGUCCUGAGAUAAGAAUGUCCACAUCAAACUGCCUCUGCAGCAGGGCUAAGCUAGCCAUGUCUCCCCACGGAAUAACUUGGUGUCCGUGGAUCAGACCGAUCUUGAACUGGCCCACAGUCACAACCUUUUGUUCUGGGUAAUUCAGAUUCUAAUAGAGAAAAGAGAUAAAGAAAGCACACAUUUCAGACAGAAUGAAAUGUACUCAGUUUGUUUAAAUAUUCAACCUCAUAGGUAUCUUCAGGCAGCACCCUACAACAAAUACACUUUAAGAAGUUUCUCAUCAACCUGUGACACUGCAAUGGUGCUUAAAACAUAAUCCAGUUGAUGUAACCUGGAAGCUGUCAAACUGCUUUACUGACUUAAUUUCUAUAAGGGAUCUUUAGGGCAUGGUUUAAGCAAUAAUUAAUCCUCGGCUGGUGAGAUGGCUCCGCAGGUAAAGGUCCUUGCCAACAAGUCUGGAAUCUAUCACUGGAUCCCACAUCAUGGAAAGAGGGAACUCCUGUCCACAAGCUGUUCUCUUUUGACCUUCACACAAGCACUGUACAGACAAAAAUGCACAAAUGCUACAAUAAUCCCUUAAACCUGUGAUUUUCACAACUUAAGGUAUAUAACUUAUAAGCUGGGAUUUAUUCAAAUUAUAUUCCAGACUUUAAUAAUCAUGAUACCCGUUUUAUGGAUGCAGAAACUAAGGCACAAAGAAGCUGAAACAGCUUGCCCAAGGUUAUAUGCCAGUAAGUGGUUGAGGUGAGAUCCAAACCCUGGUUACAUGGCUCUAGAGUUUAUGCAUUUAGCAAACAAGAAAUGAAAUUUAGCCUUGUUAAUUAAACUGGUUUUUA